CGAUGAAGGACGUGAUAAGCUGCGAAAAGUCACGGGGAGGUGCAAAUAACCUUUGAUCCGUGAAUCUCCGAAUGGGACAACCCGAUAUCCUGAAGGGAUAUCACCUUACAUAGUAAGGGGCUAACGCAGGGAACUGAAACAUCUUAGUACCUGCAGGAAAAGAAAAUAACAAUGAUUCCCCCAGUAGUGGCGAGCGAACGGGGAAGAGCCCAAACCUCU
rnacentral:rRNA from 1 species